rnacentral:rRNA from 1 species
UACAGAGGGUGCGAGCGUUAAUCGGGAUUUUACUGGGCGUAAAGCGUGCGUAGGCGGCUUCUUUAAGUCGGAUGUGAAAUCCCUGAGCUUAACUUAGGAAUUGCAUUCGAUACUGGGAAGCUAGAGUAUGGGAGAGGAUGGUAGAAUUCCAGGUGUAGCGGUGAAAUGCGUAGAGAUCUGGAGGAAUACCGAUGGCGAAAGGCAGCCAAUCUGGCCUAAUACUGACGCUGAGGUACGAAAGCAUGGGGAGCAAAACAGG